GUAGUCCACGCUGUAAACGAUGAAGACUAGAUGUUGGGUGGCUUGGACCAUUUAGUAUCGAAGCUAACGCGAUAAGUCUUCCGCCUGGGGAGUACGGCCGCAAGGCUAAAACUCAAAGGAAUUGACGGGGGCCCGCACAAGCGGUGGAGCAUGUGGUUUAAUUCGAUGCAACGCGAAGAACCUUACCUACCCUUGACAUCCACAGAAUUCUGCAGAGAUGCGGAAGUGCCGAAAGGAACUGUGAGACAGGUGCUGCAUGGCUGUCGUCAGCUCGUGUUGUGAGAUGUUGGGUUAAGUCCCGUAACGAGCGCAACCCUUAUCCUUAGUUACCAGCAUGUAAAGAUGGGAACUCUAAGGAGACUGCCGGUGAUGAACCGGA
rnacentral:rRNA from 1 species